GAUGAACGCUGGCGGCGUGCCUAAUACAUGCAAGUCGAGCGAACAGAUGAGGAGCUUGCUCCUCUGACGUUAGCGGCGGACGGGUGAGUAACACGUGGAUAACCUACCUAUAAGACUGGGAUAACUUCGGGAAACCGGAGCUAAUACCGGAUAAUAUAUUGAACCGCAUGGUUCAAUAGUGAAAGACGGUUUUGCUGUCACUUAUAGAUGGAUCCGCGCCGCAUUAGUUAGUUGGUAAGGUAACGGCUUACCAAGGCAACGAUGCGUAGCCGACCUGAGAGGGUGAUCGGCCACACUGGAACUGAGACACGGUCCAGACUCCUACGGGAGGCAGCAGUAGGGAAUCUUCCGCAAUGGGCGAAAGCUUGACGGAGCAACGCCGCGUGAGUGAUGAAGGUCUUCGGAUCGUAAAACUCUGUUAUUAGGGAAGAACAAAUGUGUAAGUAACUAUGCACGUCUUGACGGUACCUAAUCAGAAAGCCACGGCUAACUACGUG
rnacentral:rRNA from 1 species